UACAGAGGGGGCAAGCGUUGUUCGGAAUUACUGGGCGUAAAGGGCGCGUAGGCGGCCUACUAAGUCGAACGUGAAAUCCCCGGGCUCAACCCGGGAACUGCGUCCGAUACUGGAAGGCUUGAAUCCGGGAGAGGGAUGUGGAAUUCCAGGUGUAGCGGUGAAAUGCGUAGAUAUCUGGAGGAACACCGGUGGCGAAGGCGGCAUCCUGGACCGGUAUUGACGCUGAUGCGCGAAAGCCAGGGGAGCAAACGGG
rnacentral:rRNA from 1 species